AAUCAACGCUGGCGGCGUGCCUAACACAUGCAAGUCGAGCGGGAAAGGGGGCUUCGGUCCCUGAGUAUAGCGGCGGACGGGUGAGUAACACGUGGGUAAUUUGCCCUUGGGUGUGGAAUAACUCAGGGAAACUUGAGCUAAUACCGCAUGACAUCCCCUUCUCACAGGAGUUGGGGAUCAAAGCCGGGGACCCUUCGGGGCCUGGCGCCUGAGGAGAAGCCCGCGCCCGAUUAGCUAGNGGUGAGGUAAUGGCUCACCAAGGCUUCGAUCGGUAGCCGGCCUGAGAGGGCGGACGGCCACACUGGGACUGAGACACGGCCCAGACUCCUACGGGAGGCAGCAGUGGGGAAUUUUUGUCAAUGGGGGGAAACCCUGAACAAGCAACGCCGCGUGGAGGACGACGACCUGGUGUAA
rnacentral:rRNA from 1 species